GACGAACGCUGGCGGCGUGCCUAAUACAUGCAAGUCGAACGCACAGUUUAUACCGUAGCUUGCUACACCAUAGACUGUGAGGUGCGAACGGGUGAGUAACGCGUAGGUAACCUGCCUGGUAGCGGGGGAUAAAUAUUGGAAAAGAUAGCUAAUAUCGCAUAAUCUUUAUUAUUGCAUGGUAAUUAAUGGAAAGGUGCAAUUGCACCACUACCAGAUGGCCCUGCGUUGUAUUAGCUAGUAGGUGAGGUAACGGCUCACCGAGGCGAAGAUACAUCGCCGACCUUGGGGGGGGGUCGGCCACACGUGGACUGGAACACGGCCCAGACUCCUACGGGAGGGAGCAGGAGGGAAUCUUCGGCAAUGGACGAAAGUCUGACCGAGCAACGCCGCGGGAGGUAAGAAGGGUUUCGGAUCGUAAAGCUCUGUUGUAAGAGAAGAACGGGUUUGAGAGUGGAAAGUUCACGCUGUGACGGUACCUUACCAGAAAGGGACGGCUAACUACGUG
rnacentral:rRNA from 1 species